AUCCAGUCUGAUUGGCUGCUGUCGUAAAUCUCGCGAGCUUGGCCUAUUUUUAAACAUGGAGAUUAAGAAGAUAAACAUUUAGCCUUAAAUGUUGUUUAAUGUCAAGGAAAUACAGCACGAUUGACGAACGGAUAAAGAAGCUUGAUAUUUUGCGUUAAAUGUUGUGUAAUGUCAAGAAAAGACGGCAUGACUGGUGGACGGAUGAAUAAGAGAGACAUUUCGCGUUAAAUGUUUAAUGUGAAGAAAAAACGUUGAUGUACGAGGAUACAACGAGGACAUUUGCGGCUUAAAUGUGUGACGAGACUGUAAUGGAUCAUGAAAGCAAUGUGGACUUUGUCAAACAUCUUGAUGGAAAAGCUACUACGGGUGAUACAGGAGAGUCUGGAUCUUCAGAAGGGGAGAAGAAGGCGUGCACAUCCUGUACCGCAGCAGAAGAGCAGAACACACAUGGUUCUUGGUCACAGAGGACCAUCUCUCGUUUACUCCGAAGCACAUUUAAUCCCCGUAUGAGAUGGCUGUUUCCUGGCCAAAGUCAAGAUGACUGUGAGGAGGAUGAAGAGGAAGAAGAAGGAAACUUAGUCAAGGCGUACAACCUGGUGUCCCGCUCGUCUGCACGUCUUGUACAUUUGCAACACGCUCUUCUGAGUGUGGCGACGCAGUGGCAACAUGUUGGUGCUUCUCCCAAGGUCUGCAUCAAAGGCUUCCCAGCAGAGGGCAAGCUUCACUUUGUGCCCUCCUCGCCCUCCCUGAACAAACACUACCAAGCUCUGUGGAGGCUCAUGGAGCAGAGAUCAUUGCUGCUCUUCAUCCAUGAAUACACCAGGAGGGCUCAUCUCACUGCUGAAUACAUAUCCAAAGUGAGCCAGCUACUUGAAGAUCACUUGUCGAAGUCACAUUUAACAUCUAACCAGACUCCACAUUUGUGUUCUUCAGCAAGGGUCCAUCUUAGCUCCUUGUGCCAGGAGUUCCGGAUUCAUCUCAACCACUGGUCUUGUCUGUCUGCAAAAGUCCAGGCUGAUCCGCACCUGAGGCGUGCUCUGGGCCAGCAUAACAAGUUGCUGGGAGACAUCAGACAGACUCUUGACUCGCUUGGACUGCAGGUGUUGGUUUUAAUGGAGCGUUAUGUGCAUGCUGUUCUGUCUGCUGUGGCGCAGGCUGAUUUGGACCACAUACCAAGGGAAGUCCUGGCAGAUAUUCUCGAUAGUGCGGACCUGUACAGCCAAGUAGUGGAGGAGCAGAGAAUACAACACAGUGUCACUAAGCUGAGAAGUCACAUAUUACAACAGACAAUGAGUCAAAGACAUCACCCCACUGCUGUUUCAGUCAAAGAUCUACUGAGUAUUUUGGCAGUCCACCAUGCAAACGCAGCAGCUAAUCAGCUCCAUCGCUGGACUUAUCAGCAGUGUGUGUGUCCAUCACAUACUAAACAAAACAGUCCACCAGCCAGAUUUCCUUCACCAGCAACUUGGGAGCAGUUGCAGGACACUUUCUUUAUUUCUUGCUCUUCUCCUAAGACGUGCCAUCUUUACACUCCUGAACUUCACUUAGAAAAAGAAAGACACUUCUAUCAGUGCCAAACAUGUAUACACAAGACUGGUCCAGUCCAGACACACCUAGAAUGUAAAAGCCCUGUAAGAAACUCUCAGAAUGUUCCAAUGGCAGCUCCAACCACGUCCUUCAGCCAUUUGUCAACCAUCCCUCUUUUCAGACUUUGCCAGCAGGACCGGUCCAAAGUAGAGCUUCUUUUUCAUGUGCUUGCUUCCUCCAAUAAUCUGCUGGUUCCACUGGUAUCACAUCCAUCACUAGCAGAGACAACGAUACAAACAUUCCCCUGUGCUGAAACAAAUGGCAAAGCUGACCAAAAGCUUGCAUCGUUAAACCAAAGCAUCAAGGAUUGUAGUAAAGAGGGAAAUGACCAAGAAGCUGUUGAGCUGGAGAUAACCACCACGCUGGGAGUCCAACACAGCUCCGGUGCUGGACAGACAGGCCCCGAAGAGGCUGUGGGAGCAAAUGUUCAAACUGAGCAUGAAUGUGCUCGGCAGCCUCGCUCCGUUCAGUGGUUGGAUUUGGAUCGUUCACUGGCGUUUGAAGAUCUGUUGGGGCACUACCAUACCCUGCUGUGGGCUCACUGCAGCAAAGCACUGUGGCUGCAGAUGCAUGUGCCACAAGCAGGAAGACGUGUAGGCAGCAUCAACCUCCACGACAACCACAGGAGGUUUCAAGUCCUGCAGAUGAUCAGCCAGGCCUCGAAGACAGAUUUGCUUCCAAAGAAGGGGAAAGCCAUGCUGGAGGAGUUCAGUCUAAAUAUGUUAUUCAGCACAGCGCAUGCUCAGUGGGACUAUGUGGUGUGCAGAAGUUUAGGUGCAGCUUUGAAGGACAAGUGUCAAACAUAUAUCAAUCAGCGUGGCCGGUCUCUGACACCUUCUUUCAAACGCAAUGAGAGUGUGAUGACGUCGCUGACUGCGGAGAACUUGCUGCAGCUUUCUCCACCUCUAUUGUCCUGUGUGUCCUACUGCAGCGCAGCAGGCUCUUUGACCCUCUUCCCAUCAUGGAACGCUCUCUGCAGAGGGACCAUGAACUUGAUGUUAGCCACAGUACAACUAUCCACAGUGUGGAUCAUGUCAAAGGCCUACCAGUUCCUCUCUUCAUGGAGCUUAAACAAGUUCCUACUCAUUACACAAGGAGACCUGAAUGUGCUGAGAGAGUCACUUGACACAAUGGUGCAGCAGACUACGUGCUUGACGAUGGACUCGGACGACCUUUCUGCUCAUCACGUUCACAACCAGCUUGUGCUCACGCAGCAGCGCACAAAGCUAGACAUCGCUGUAUCUCAACUGCAGACCCUUUCUUCUCUGGUGCUGGAGACCUUUUCCAAUGACUGCAAAAGGAUAUCUGCUGAUGCCUUUGAGCAAACCAUGCCCCCUGCUGGACAGUGGAGGCUCAACCACAGGCCAGGCUUUCCAAGCAGUCCCAGUGAAUAUGCGUCUCUGGCAGCUCAGAACAUCAUCGGUCAGGUUUUGGAGGGCGUGACAUCACUGUCUGAUGACGCCUGCAUCCAAGCUCUUAGUGUGAGCACGACUGCCUUCAUGGAGGCAUGGAUGGAACACAUCCUGAAGCACAAGCUCAAAUUCAGUAUUCAGGGAGCACUCCAACUCAAGCAGGACUUUGAUUCUGUCAGAGAGUUGAUUUGCUCAGACGCAUACGGUCUGCCAGAGGAACUCCUUCAGCGACUACUUGGCCUCAGAGUCUUUCAGCAGGUGGACUCUGCAGUCUUGUGCCUGCUUCAGCAGCCACACGUCAAACCGUAUCUGCACAGCACAACCUGGGAGCCUUUCACACGCUGCUGUGAGUCAUGCAUCAGGCAAUCAAUAGGAAUCUUAAAUACAGUGGAAUCCUCGGUUUUCGUCUUUAAUGUCUGCUCCAAAAGGUACAAAAAAAGGUACAAAAGCCAAUGCCAUUAUUGUCCAUAAGAGAUAAUGUACAUGUCAAUCCAAUUAAUCUGUUCCAGACACCCAAAAUAUGAACAAAAAUGACAUUUUAUAGAGAAAAGUUAUAGUUUUACAUGCACAAAACCAUAUGAAAUACAUACAGUGUAUAGUGGUGUGAAAAGGUGUUUGCCCCCUUCCUGAUUUCUUACUUUUUUUUGCAUGUUUGUCACACUUCAAUGGUUCAGAUCAAACAAAUUUAAAUAUUAGUCAAGAACAACACAGCUGAACACAAAAUGCAAUUUUUAAAUGAAACUUUUCAUUAUUAAGCCACAAACCUACAUGGCACUGUGUGGAAAAGUGAUUGUCCCCUAAACCUAAUAACUGGUUGGGCCACCCUUAGCAGCAACACUGUAAUCAAGUGUUUGCGAUAACCUGAGUCUCUUACAGUGCUGUGGAGGAAUUUUGGCCCACUCAUCUUUGCAGAAUUGUUGUAAUUCAGCCACAUUGGAGGGUUUUCCAGCAUAAAGCGCCUUUAUAAAGUCAUGCCACAGCAUCUCAAUAGGAUUCAGGUGAGGACUUAGACUAAGCCACUGCAAAGUCUUCAUUUUGUUUUUCUUCAGCCAUUCAGAGGUGGACUUGCUGGUGUGUUUUCUUCUUACCCGUAAUCUUACCCCUUGCCCCUGGGUUCCGUGCGUUCAUGAGAAUCAAGUGGUGUCCCAAUUCUCCUUAAAUCAAGCUGUAGGAAGUGCUAAGGGGUGUGCAGCCCUAGAAACCAAGUGUGGUCUGGGACCAAACUUGAAAUGAAGAGGUAGGCGGAGUCUACUUGGAUACAACACUCCAGCGGCUGCGUGGAGACCGAAAGAAGCAUAUAAAUGAGAUGCUGAGCCAACUGAAAUCAGCCCUCUGCUACACCACACGGCACUCCAGGACCAUUCAAAAACUGCAAUCCCAGUAUGGAAAAGUCAAAUGCAACAAGCCAUUCCGAACUUUCUUACAAAAGAAUCUGAGGGAGAACAUCAACAACAGGAGGAGAGCGAGGCCAAAACAGGGAGGUUUUUCAACUUUAUAAUGAUGCUUGAUAAGGUUUACAAAUUUGUUGAUGACGUAUUUAUUGUUAUUUCUAUUUCGUAUGUAUGUUUUGCUACAUUUUUUAUUUUUAUAAAUGUUUUUACAGUGCUGGUUGUAAGCUGUUACUGAUUAGUUGUUUGUUGUUUAGCAAUAAAUGUCACAGUUUGUAAAAAUGUGUGCCUUUUUAUUAAAAAAAAGGUGUUGUGAGGUAGGCCAGAUAACAUUGAAAUAAUGUAGAAAUGUAUGCACUGGGCGACCAGUCCAGGGUGUACCCUGCCUGUUGCCCGAAGUCAGCUGGGAUAGGCUCCAGCAUACCCCUGCGACCCUAAUUAGGAGAAGCGUUAUAGAAAAUGGAUGGAUGUAUGCACUGGGGAUGAGCCGGAUACUCGUUUUAGACGAGUAUUAUUUACGAAUAAUGCAUACGAGCAUGAAACGAGUACAGCUUGUCAUUAUCCGUAAUCAUGAUGAAGGAAAAUCCUCAUUGGGUAACUACGGUACGUAUGUAUUCACUUUUCAUGCUCUGUGAUUGGCCAGUGACACACAGUGACCGCCCCUCCCUAGACAGACUCCCUCCAGCCGGAGGGACGAGUAUGCGGUGCAUUUGACAAGACAGUUCAAAACGGCUCGUGUCACUGCCUCCACUCCGGACUGGAGUUUUUUUUGGGGGGGGGGGUUCCUCAGCUCAGCUCAGCUCAGCUCAGCUCGUAUCUAAAGUUACUUGGUAAACUUGUUUCGUAACGUAGGUGGUGCAUUUGACAAGACAGCUGAAAAUGGCUCUUGUUGUGUCGGUCACAGACCGUGUUUUUUGGUUUUUUUUUUUGUCUGCUUGCUUCUAAUUUGGCCGGUGAGCCAAGUCAGUUUGAAAACUUUGCUCGUAGUACUGAACGCAGUGCUUUUGAGAAAAAUACGGUGAACAAGGCUUUGCCAUCAGUGGAUGUUUAAAAAAAUAAUUCAAGUCUUGCAGAUUACUUCUACACGUACACAGUACACAUAUAGCUGAAUAAUAAACAACAAAUAUAACAACUUCUGAUCAAUCCAUGUCAAUUUCAGCCUUAAAAUAAUGUACCACUUUAAGCCGCACCCAUUUCCGCUUAGACCACGCCCACUUCAGGUUUAUGGCCCGCCCACUCUGAGUACAGAAGAGGAUACAGAUCAUUUAGAUGCGUGAACAGAUGCAUAUAGUGGUGUACUCGCUCAUCCCUAGUACGCACCUUACUUUAUGAUCAGAAACAUUUAUUAUGAACAGUUUAAUGAUCUCAUCUCAUUAUCUCUCCUAUGUCACAGUGAAGGGUGAUGAUGUAAUGAGAAUCAAGUGGUGUCCCAUUUCUUAGUGGCUUCUUCCCCUUGGCCCUAGGUUUUAAGGGCAAGGGGUAAGACGAAGGGGAAGGGCUAAGGGGUAGAAUUGGAAAAUUCUUCACAGUCACCAAAGUGUGGGUGCUUUGUUUGGCUGUACAAUAAUUGAGACAUUUUGGCAAGUAUUUUCAUAUAUUUCCUACAAAAACCGGGGUUCCACUGUAUUUCUAAGAAGUCGUGUUCAAUCGUAUUACAGUAACGCCCGCUACAAGGUAUCAUGUGUAUGUAUUGGUGGUAUUAUAUCAUA